GAUGAACGCUGGCGGCGUGCCUAAUACAUGCAAGUCGAGCGAACGGACGAGAAGCUUUCUUCUCUGAUGUUAGCGGCGGACGGGUGAGUAACACGUGGAUAACCUACCUAUAAGUCUGGGAUAACUUCGGGAAACCGGAGCUAAUACUGGAUGAUAUUUUGAACCGCAUGGUUCAAAAGUGAAAGACGGUCUUGCUGUCACUUAUAGAUGGAUCCGCGCUGCAUUAGCUAGUUGGUAAGGUAACGGCUUACCAAGGCAACGAUGCAUAGCCGACCUGAGAGGGUGAUCGGCCACACUGGAACUGAGACACGGUCCAGACUCCUACGGGAGGCAGCAGUAGGGAAUCUCCCGCAAUGGGCGAAAGCCUGACGGAGCAACGCCGCGUGAGUGAUGAAGGUCUUCGGAUCGUAAAACUCUGUUAUUAGGGAAGAACAUAUGUGUAAGUAACUGUGCACAUCUUGACGGUACCUAAUCAGAAAGCCACGGCUAACUACGUG
rnacentral:rRNA from 1 species